UACGGAGGGUGCAAGCGUUAUCCGGAUUUAUUGGGUUUAAAGGGUACGUAGGCGGUGGAGUAAGUCAGUGGUGAAAGCCAACAGCUCAACUGUUGAACUGCCAUUGAUACUGCUUCACUUGAGUGCAGUUGAGGUGGGUGGAAUUCCAUGUGUAACGGUGAAAUGCUUAGAUAUAUGGAGGAACACCGAUAACGAAGGUAACUCACUAAACUGUAACUGACGCUGAGGUACGAAAGCGUGGGGAGCAAACGGG
rnacentral:rRNA from 1 species